UGGAAUUCACUGGUCUUACCACAUUCCCCA
rnacentral:piRNA from 1 species